GGAGCAUGGAUCAGAUCAGACGGUCGGUGGUGCCAAUUGACAGAGUCAGAGCCGACGGCCGGGCAGAAAGAAGCGGCGCGCGGCAACUAUCUGAUGCUGUGCCACUGCCCCUGCUACUUGUAGCUGUAGGCCAGAGUCUUGUGCAGUGCAGACAGCAGAGCACUAGUAGGCCACCAGACUUCUCGCGGCCGGAGGUGGAGAAGAGCGGCGGCCAUCAUCCUCGAGACCACCUGGACAUCGUUGUUGGUCUCCUUUGCCGUCUUGCGAAUGCCACUCGAUUACAGAGACAUGCUCCUCCUCCUCCUGUCUCCUGAUGCAGCCUUCUCACGACAUGCAUGGGAGACA
rnacentral:misc_RNA from 1 species